rnacentral:sRNA from 1 species
AGUCAAGAGCUCCAAUGCGCAGGCGCGAGCUUUUUCCGCGCUGGCCAGCAGGCCCCACCCACCCCGUUCUUUUUCCAUUUCAGCGCCACUGGAUACCGAACUGUCACCCUGUACACGUAUCCUGAAAACUGGAGGGCCUUCAAGGCUCUCAUCGCUGCUCAGUACAGCGGGGCUCAGGUCCGCGUGCUCUCCGCACCACCCCACUUCCAUUUUGGCCAAACCAAUCGCACCCCUGAAUUUCUCCGCAAAUUUCCUGCCGGCAAGGUCCCAGCAUUUGAGGGUGAUGAUGGAUUCUGUGUGUUUGAGAGCAACGCCAUUGCCUACUAUGUGAGCAAUGAGGAGCUGCGGGGAAGUACUCCAGAGGCAGCAGCCCAGGUGGUGCAGUGGGUGAGCUUUGCUGAUUCUGAUAUAGUGCCCCCAGCCAGUACCUGGGUGUUCCCCACCUUGGGCAUCAUGCACCACAACAAACAGGCCACUGAGAAUGCAAAGGAGGAAGUGAGGCGAAUUCUGGGGCUGCUGGAUGCUUACUUGAAGACGAGGACUUUUCUGGUGGGCGAACGAGUGACAUUGGCUGACAU